CAACAUGGAACGAGUGGCGGACGGGUGAGUAACACGUGGGUAACCUGCCCUUAAGUGGGGGAUAACAUUUGGAAACAGAUGCUAAUACCGCAUAGAUCCAAGAACCGCAUGGUUCUUGGCUGAAAGAUGGCGUAAGCUAUCGCUUUUGGAUGGACCCGCGGCGUAUUAGCUAGUUGGUGAGGUAACGGCUCACCAAGGCGAUGAUACGUAGCCGAACUGAGAGGUUGAUCGGCCACAUUGGGACUGAGACACGGCCCAAACUCCUACGGGAGGCAGCAGUAGGGAAUCUUCCACAAUGGACGCAAGUCUGAUGGAGCAACGCCGCGUGAGUGAAGAAGGCUUUCGGGUCGUAAAACUCUGUUGUUGGAGAAGAAUGGUCGGCAGAGUAACUGUUGUCGGCGUGACGGUAUCCAACCAGAAAGCCACGGCUAACUACGUGCCAGCAGCCGCGGUAAUACGUAGGUGGCAAGCGUUAUCCGGAUUUAUUGGGCGUAAAGCGAGCGCAGGCGGUUUUUUAAGUCUGAUGUGAAAGCCCUCGGCUUAACCGAGGAGCGCAUCGGAAACUGGGAAACUUGAGUGCAGAAGAGGACAGUGGAACUCCCAUGUGUAGCGGUGAAAUGCGUAGAUAUAUGGAAGAACACCAGUGGCGAAGGCGGCUGUCUGGUCUGUAACUGACGCUGAGGCUCGAAAGCAUGGGUAGCGAACAGGAUUAGAUACCCUGGUAGUCCAUGCCGUAAACGAUGAAUGCUAGGUGUUGGAGGGUUUCCGCCCUUCAGUGCCGCAGCUAACGCAUUAAGCAUUCCGCCUGGGGAGUACGACCGCAAGGUUGAAACUCAAAGGAAUUGACGGGGGCCCGCACAAGCGGUGGAGCAUGUGGUUUAAUUCGAAGCAACGCGAAGAACCUUACCAGGUCUUGACAUCUUUUGAUCACCUGAGAGAUCAGGUUUCCCCUUCGGGGGCAAAAUGACAGGUGGUGCAUGGUUGUCGUCAGCUCGUGUCGUGAGAUGUUGGGUUAAGUCCCGCAACGAGCGCAACCCUUAUGACUAGUUGCCAGCAUUUAGUUGGGCACUCUAGUAAGACUGCCGGUGACAAACCGGAGGAAGGUGGGGAUGACGUCAAAUCAUCAUGCCCCUUAUGACCUGGGCUACACACGUGCUACAAUGGAUGGUACAACGAGUUGCGAGACCGCGAGGUCAAGCUAAUCUCUUAAAGCCAUUCUCAGUUCGGACUGUAGGCUGCAACUCGCCUACACGAAGUCGGAAUCGCUAGUAAUCGCGGAUCAGCACGCCGCGGUGAAUACGUUCCCGGGCCUUGUACACACCGCCCGUCACACCAUGAGAGUUUGUA
rnacentral:rRNA from 2 species